CUCUCCAACCUCAUCCAUCUCACGCUCCCUCUAGCUCUCCUCUAGCCACAGAGGCCUCCAUUCAUUUCCUCCAACACACCAAGUUCCUUCCCAACUCCAGACUUUGCUCCAGCAAUCCCCUCUGCCUGGAAAGUUGUCCCCGACCCCUGGAUCGCAGCUUAAACAUCACCCCCUCAAACAGGCUUUCCUGGACCAUCCUAUAGCCAAAGAGCACAUCUCCCUCGUUAUUCUCUAUGGUAGCACCCUGUCUAUUUCUUUCAGAGGAUGUACCCCAAUCUGUAAUUAUUUUACUUUUUUGUGUAUUGUUUAUUGACCAUCUCACUUCACUGGAAUAUAGACUCUAGGAGGGCAGAGAUCAUGUUUUCUCAUUGAUGCAAGGUCUGCACACUCUAGCACAAUGCCCACUCCAUAAUAAUAACUCAACAAAUAUUAGCUGGAUGAAUGAAUUAUAAUAACAGCAUUUAUUGAGCUCCUAUAUGCUAGGGCUGUUUUAAGUGCUACAUGCACAAUAAUUCAUUGAAUCACUAAAUAACCCUGUGCGGUAGGUACUAUUAUUUUCCCUAUUUUACAGAUGAGAAAAACUGAGCACAGAGAAGUUAACUAAUUUGCCCAAGGCCACACAGCUAGUAAAUUAGAGAGCAAGACUUUGUACCCAGAUAGUCUAGCUUUAGAGUCUAUGCUUUUAACUGGAGGGAAGCAGGGAGGGAGGGAAGGAGGAAGGAAGGAAGGAAAUAAAAUAAUAAGUGAAUAAAUGAGUGACAAGUAUUAUGUAAGUCCAGUACUUCCAGAAGCUCGGGAUCUCCAGAGAUUCCUUUGAGUCAUAAGAUUCCAUUAUUUAAUUGGAUAGAAGCUGACUGGAGCAUCUAUUGUACAAGUAACAUUGGAGAGUAAGAGAAUUAUCAGCUUAAUGCAUGAACUUGACUGUGCUCAAGAUGUGACAUGAGAUGUCUUGGAGGGCUGUCCCUGGCCACAGUCUAGACCUACUGACCAACAAGUUCAGUUCAGUCAAGUUCACUAACAGAAUGUAACAUUGGUUACAUUCUUCGGGUUGUAUAUAGAAAAGGCAUUUGCACUCAUAUGGUACUUAGGUAUUUUACCACUUCCCCUGCCAGACAUUGGUAGAUGAUUACAUUCACAUCUCAGCAGGGAACUGGAGGUUUCAAACUCACAGAUCUUGUAGUGUAUGCUGAAUCACAGUGCCUCCUGUGAAACUCAGAGAUCCCAAGGGAGGAGGGGGGAUUCUAGUUUACCUCAUUUAAACUCUGCAGGAGUAACUGGUUGGUCAAUAGGCCUAUACUGUGGCCAAGGACAGCCCUCCAAGACAUCUCACAUCACAUCCUGAGCACAGUCAAGUUCACUCAUUAAGCUAAUAAUUUUCUUACCCUCCCAAAAAUAAUUCUUAAUUAGCAUUAAGUGAAAAAUUCUCUUACUUUUUGGACUGAAUUCUAGACAAGGCAAACUGCAUUUUUCAUUAGCAACAGUGGAAAAUACCAAAGCCAACAUCAGAUUAUGUUAUAAAUUGUAGAAUCUCCAUGUUUGGGUCUCUUCCAAGUAUCUUGAACAAUUAAAGGCAGUGGAGACACAGUUACAUUCUUUCCCAGGCCACUGAAGAGUGGAUGAAUGAAAUAUGACAUUGACCAAAAGGUAUGUGACUCCAGUGUUUGAAAGAUUAAUAAAAGGAUCUUCACAAAAAUAUUGACAGUGUUGUCCACAGGGGUUGAGAUUCAGGGUGAUCUGUUUUUCUCUUCAUGAUUAUCUACCCAUUGCCUGAGUUUGUUGGUAUUCUUAUUCCAGUCAGCAUGUUCUAGUUGCUUUUAUAGUCAAAAAAUAAUAAUAACAAACCUAUUUCUAAAUAAUUAACAAAAGGAAGGCAUUUGAUAACCCCGUCUCUCUGGACGUUCACCAGGGCUGCAGUCCCAGCACUCAGUAAGCUCUACAUAGUCCUGGGGCUGAAGCAGGGAGGGGAGCAUUGCCAAGUAGGGUUGAGGGGGGACUGAGGCAAAUGCCUGGAGUCUAAAGGAGCGAGGUAACUGUAAAAGUCAACCUAGAGGGUAUGCCUGGGAGUAGGGGUGCGACUCUCUUGUUUUUAGCACUGAAAGCCCUGCAUUCCUGGAAACCCUCAGUCCCAGGCACAUCGGAAUGGCUGGUCAUCCUAUGUUAUAGACUGAAUUGUAUCUCCCCAAAAGAUAUGCUGAAGUCCUAACCUCUGUACUUGUAAAUGCGACCCUGUUUGCGGAAAUAGGGCUUUUCUUUUGUUACCAGUUGAGUCAAACAAGGGUGGGUCCCAGUGUUAAUUCUUUCUGAGUGGUGUCUUAAAGAGAGUGACACACAGGAGGAACACCACAGGAGAACCCAUCGACAGGCCAAGGAACACCAAGAAAUGCCCAGGGCUACAGAAGCGGAAUGAGACCGUGAAGGACCUUCCCCUAGAGCUGACACAGAGACAGCAUAGCCCUGCUGACGCCCUGAAUUUGGACUUCAGCCUCCAAAACUGCAGGCAAAGCUGGUAUUAUCUCCACUGCACAGAGGAAGAUACUGAGGCAGAGGAAAAAACCACUCUAUAAUUUGGGAAGGAGACCAAGAUCACGGGAGCGGCGGAAGGAAAGCCAAGUUCAUCUCCUGACUCCCAUGCUGUGGCUCUAUCUUUCACCCCUUACAGAGCGACCUGCUGUGUGUUCCAGGCUCUUGGCUGGGCUGAGAACUCAGUGACUAAUGACAACAGGGGGUCCCUCCUAACGAGCUCCAAGUUUACCAGAGGAGACAGACAGACUCAUGGACUAUGUACAACACAGUAAGAGUUGUGACAGAAAUAAGCAGGAAGAGCUUCAGGAACCAGCCGCCUUGGAAUAUGUAGAGCCCACCUGUCCCAUUUAAGCCAGAAAAGCUACCCCCAUGAGUUGGGGAAGAACUCGGCAACGGCUUUAAAAGAUUCUGGGGCAUUGAGACUGGAGGAACCCCUGAGACUAUGGCCCUAACACACCCUUCUGACCUGGAACUGAAGCACUCCUGGAGACCAUCUUUCAGCCAAACAACAGAUAGGCCCAUAAAGUAAACAAUAACACCCGAGAGGAAUGUGUUCCAUAGAGCAAUCAACUACACAAGAUCAAAAGGCAACAUUUGCCCAAAAGCAAAGAUGAGAAGGCAGGUAGGGGUAGAAAAUCUAGAUGAAAGGUAACGAAGAAACCAGGGCAGAAAUGAGGAGAGUGCUGACACACUGAGGGGAAUGCAACCAAUGUCAAAGAACACUUUAUGUACAAAUUAUCG